UUUCCCUCGAACUUCGAAGGUGCGUCGUAAUCUGUGGUGGCAUUGUAGCUUUUGUAGCUGGUUGCCUGUCAGGCCAACGUCACUGCUGUAAUUUUUAGUGUCUUCGUCGGCCCUACUCGGUCUGAGCCCAAGAUACCCGAAGAAUUCUGUCUCCGGCCUCAGAGGCUCUUGUGACUUUUUGUUACUAGGUGCGACGCAAAAACAUGUUUUUGUUGGUUGUAAAUUUAUACAUAGUUAGGAGGUCUUCUGUUUCUGGUUUUAUUAAACCAAAAUAAUUUCAUAAGUUAAGUAUUACUUAACUUGAAAGCCGGAUUUUCUAGGGUCUUCGUCGGGGCUACUCUACUUAUAUAAUUACUACCAAUAUAAUUUCAUAAGGCACUUAACUUGGAAGCCGGAAAAUUAGUUUUUCCGGCAUUCCAUCAUUAAUUUUCCCUCGUCAGCACACUUAUUCUGAUAGCAUAGCAUGGUCUUCCGCAGACGCCCUUGCUAAUUGCGCAUCCCUCGGAAAAGACACCGACUAAAAAUAAUGUAACAGUAAAUAAAAGUAA